rnacentral:misc_RNA from 1 species
UUAAGUUCAGCGGGUAGUCCCACCCGAUUUGAGGUCAAAUUGUCAAAGUAGUUGUCCAAAGACGGUUGGCAGCCGACCAAAGGCGAGCCCAUGUGCGGGUUCCUACGAGAGGGUCCCAAAACUCCAGUGAAGAUGCUUAUCACACCAGAUGACACAUUGGCAAGCCGGUCAUACUCACGCAUUUGAGACGUGCCACAGUG